ACUGGAGUUUGAUCCUGGCUCAGAGCGAACGCUGGCGGCAGGCCUAACACAUGCAAGUCGAACGGACCCUUCGGGGUUAGUGGCGGACGGGUGAGUAACACGUGGGAACGUGCCUUUAGGUUCGGAAUAGCUCCUGGAAACGGGUGGUAAUGCCGAAUGUGCCCUUCGGGGGAAAGAUUUAUCGCCUUUAGAGCGGCCCGCGUCUGAUUAGCUAGUUGGUGGGGUAAUGGCCCACCAAGGCUACGAUCAGUAGCUGGUCUGAGAGGAUGACCAGCCACAUUGGGACUGAGACACGGCCCAAACUCCUACGGGAGGCAGCAGUGGGGAAUCUUGCGCAAUGGGCGAAAGCCUGACGCAGCCAUGCCGCGUGUAUG
rnacentral:rRNA from 1 species